AGCUUCAUCCAAGAGAACUGUGCCC
rnacentral:ncRNA from 2 species